GGUGACUUAAUGGUAGAGUGCUUGCCUAUCAUGCAUGAAGUCCUGGGUUCAAUUCCUCAGUACCA
rfam:Dipodomys ordii ctg_broad_rename0001411, whole genome shotgun sequence.